CUUUAGACCCGCGUCUCACCCCGGGCCGGAAGGGCUCCUGCGCAGGCGUUUGUAGCCACUUUUAAGUUUUAUCAGCUAGUUCAUGCUUGCGUUGAAAGAGUGGUCGUUUGCGCUGGGUCAUCACUGUGUAGUAUUGGGGAUACUUAGUUCUGUAAACCAGAAAUCUAAAAUCAGUCACUGGAGUAAAGUCAAGGUGUCAUUUGGAUUGGUUGCUUCCAGAGGCUCUGCAGGGAGAUUGUUUUUCUUGUCUUUUUCAGCUUUUAGAAGUUGCCUGCAUUCCUUGGCCCCUUCCUCACAUCAUUCCAACCAACUUCCAUCCUUACAAUCGAUUACUUUCCUGUAAUAGCUACAGUCAAAUGGGCAGCUGAAGAUGAUGAUGAUGAUGAUCUUGACACCGAGAAGCAGAAGACCAAUGAAGAUGACCAGACAGCAAAAAAGGAUAAGUUAAAAGAAGGUAAAAGAAGGCCACUCGUACUUGCUGUCUCAGUAUCUAAAGGUGGUCACCUUCCAGUAGAGAGGCCCACCCACUGCAGACCGUGCCACCGAAGGUGACAUGCACUUUCUGCCACCCAUCCAAAACCGUAACGUGAAUCUGCAACAGGAGAGGAAAGAAGAACCAAAACUUCCAAGGCCUUGCAUUUUUUCUUAAAAGCAUUUUUUUUUUUUUUUGGAGAUGGAGUCUCACUCUAUUGCCUGGAGUGCAGUGGCGUAAUUUCGGCUCACUGAAGCCUCUGCUUCCCGGGUUUAAGAAAUUCUCUGCCUCAGCCUCCCAAGUAGCUGGGAUUACAGGCACAUGCCACCACACCUGUCUAAUUUUUGUAUUUUUAGGAGAGACAGGGUUUCACCGUGUUGGCCAGGCUGGUCUUGAACUCCUGACCUCGUGAUCCACCUGCCUUGGCCUCCCAAAGUGCUGGGAUUACAGGCCUGAGCCACUGCACCUAGCCAAAAGCAUUUUUUAAAGAAAAAUUGGUCUAUAUUUUUUGUUUCUACUUUAUAUCUUUGUACAUAUUUUUAGAGUGCAGGCAUUUUUAAUAAUCUUGGAUGACCAAAGCAGCUUUCAGAAUGUUCUUUGCCCAACUUCUGACUUUACUUGUAGUGUGACCAUGUUCAUUAGAAUCUCAAAGGAGGAAGAAAAGAAAAAACAAACUUGUAAAAAAUGAAAAAUAGAUCUGGCGAGGUGAUUCACGGCUGUAAGCCCAGCACUUUGAGAGGCUAAGGCGGGUGGAUCACCUGAGGUCAGGAGUUCGAGACCAGCCUGGCCAACAUGGUGAAAUCCUAUCUCUACUAAAUAUACAAAAAUUAGCCAGGUGUGGUGGUGGGUGCCUGUAGUCCCAGCUACUCAGGAGGCUGAGGCAGGAGAAUCUGGAACCCCGGAGGCAGAGGUUGCAGUGAGCCGAGAUCGCACCAUUGCACUCCAGCCUGGGCGACAGAGUGAGACUAUCUGAAAAAAAGCAAAAAUAGGCCAGGCAUGGUGGCUCAUGCCUUGAUCCCAGCACUUUGGUAAGCCUAGGCAGGUGGAUCACUUGAGGUCAGGGGUUCGAGACCAGCUUAGCCAACAUGGUGAAAACCUGUCUCUACUGAAAAUACAAAAAUUAGCCAGGCGUGGUGGUGGGUACCUGUAAUCCCAGCUACGCGGGAGGCUGAGGCAUGAGAAUUGCUUGAACUCAGGAGGCGGAGGUUGCAGUGAGCAGCAGUCAUGCCAUUGCACUCCAGCCUGGUGACAGAGUAAGACUCUGUCUCAAAAAUAAAUAAAUGCAAAAACAACAAAUCUUAUUUUUUCAGCCUGUUCGAUGUAUGUGUGAAACAAUGUUGUCCAACAAUAAACGGGAAUCUUAUUUUUCUGAGGUUUUUUCCCCUA
rnacentral:lncRNA from 10 species